UCCCUGGUGGCACAAACUGUGCUCAGCUCCUAACUGAAAGGUUGGUGGUUCAAAUCCACCCAGAGGCA
rnacentral:tRNA from 1 species